rnacentral:rRNA from 2 species
UGCAGUCGAGCGGACAGAUGGGAGCUUGCUCCCUGAUGUUAGCGGCGGACGGGUGAGUAACACGUGGGUAACCUGCCUGUAAGACUGGGAUAACUCCGGGAAACCGGGGCUAAUACCGGAUGGUUGUUUGAACCGCAUGGUUCAGACAUAAAAGGUGGCUUCGGCUACCACUUACAGAUGGACCCGCGGCGCAUUAGCUAGUUGGUGAGGUAACGGCUCACCAAGGCGACGAUGCGUAGCCGACCUGAGAGGGUGAUCGGCCACACUGGGACUGAGACACGGCCCAGACUCCUACGGGAGGCAGCAGUAGGGAAUCUUCCGCAAUGGACGAAAGUCUGACGGAGCAACGCCGCGUGAGUGAUGAAGGUUUUCGGAUCGUAAAGCUCUGUUGUUAGGGAAGAACAAGUGCCGUUCAAAUAGGGCGGCACCUUGACGGUACCUAACCAGAAAGCCACGGCUAACUACGUGCCAGCAGCCGCGGUAAUACGUAGGUGGCAAGCGUUGUCCGGAAUUAUUGGGCGUAAAGGGCUCGCAGGCGGUUUCUUAAGUCUGAUGUGAAAGCCCCCGGCUCAACCGGGGAGGGUCAUUGGAAACUGGGGAACUUGAGUGCAGAAGAGGAGAGUGGAAUUCCACGUGUAGCGGUGAAAUGCGUAGAGAUGUGGAGGAACACCAGUGGCGAAGGCGACUCUCUGGUCUGUAACUGACGCUGAGGAGCGAAAGCGUGGGGAGCGAACAGGAUUAGAUACCCUGGUAGUCCACGCCGUAAACGAUGAGUGCUAAGUGUUAGGGGGUUUCCGCCCCUUAGUGCUGCAGCUAACGCAUUAAGCACUCCGCCUGGGGAGUACGGUCGCAAGACUGAAACUCAAAGGAAUUGACGGGGGCCCGCACAAGCGGUGGAGCAUGUGGUUUAAUUCGAAGCAACGCGAAGAACCUUACCAGGUCUUGACAUCCUCUGACAAUCCUAGAGAUAGGACGUCCCCUUCGGGGGCAGAGUGACAGGUGGUGCAUGGUUGUCGUCAGCUCGUGUCGUGAGAUGUUGGGUUAAGUCCCGCAACGAGCGCAACCCUUGAUCUUAGUUGCCAGCAUUCAGUUGGGCACUCUAAGGUGACUGCCGGUGACAAACCGGAGGAAGGUGGGGAUGACGUCAAAUCAUCAUGCCCCUUAUGACCUGGGCUACACACGUGCUACAAUGGACAGAACAAAGGGCAGCGAAACCGCGAGGUUAAGCCAAUCCCACAAAUCUGUUCUCAGUUCGGAUCGCAGUCUGCAACUCGACUGCGUGAAGCUGGAAUCGCUAGUAAUCGCGGAUCAGCAUGCCGCGGUGAAU